rnacentral:rRNA from 1 species
UACAUGGGGUGCAAACGUUGCCCGGAAUUAUUGGGCGUAAAGCGCACGUAGGUGGUCUGUUAUGUCAGAUAUGAAAGCCCUCGGCUUAACUGAGGAAGUGCACCUGAAACUGGCAGGCUUGAGUACGAAAGAGGGUCGCGGAAUUCCCGGUGUAGAGGUGAAAUUCGUAGAUAUCGGGAGGAACACCGGUGGCGAAGGCGGCGACCUGGGUAGAUACUGACGCUGAGGUGCGAAAGCGUGGGGAGCAAACAGG